UACGUAGGGUGCAAGCGUUAAUCGGAAUUACUGGGCGUAAAGCGUGCGCAGGCGGUUUUGUAAGUUUGUCGUGAAAUCCCCGGGCUCAACCUGGGAAUUGCGAUGAAGACUGCAAGGCUAGAAUCUGGCAGAGGGGGGUAGAAUUCCACGUGUAGCAGUGAAAUGCGUAGAGAUGUGGAGGAACACCCGAUGGCGAAGGCAGCCCCCUGGGUCAAGAUUGACGCUCAU
rnacentral:rRNA from 1 species